rnacentral:rRNA from 1 species
GUCUACCGCCAUACCACCCUGAAUGCGCCCAAACUCAUCUGAUCUCAGAAGCUAAGCAGAGUUGGGCCUGGUUAGUACUUGGAUGCGAGACCACCUGGGAAUACCGGGUGCUGUAGGCU